rnacentral:lncRNA from 10 species
CAUGCUUGUCGGAGAUUCUCAGGCGACCUUCCCUCUUAUCUUCCUCUUGCAUUUAUCAGAAGUGCUGAACCCUUGACGUGCCUUAUCUUAUUUGCUCCUCACAACAAAUCUUAUGAGAUGCAUCACUACCAGAAGUUGUCCAGAAAGAACUGUGACCGUAUGUUUUAAUUAAAUAAUUUUUCAUCCAGUUUUUUUCUUUGCAUAUAAAGAAACAGAAUCCUGACAUCUGAUUGAAUUGUAAGCAUCUUCCUGCAUCCUGUAUAUCUGAGAUAAAACUUCAAAGAAUCAACUUAAGGUCACAAAGGAUUACAAAGAAAAAAUUUUAGAAAGGGGUCCCUAGAUGCACUGAACGUAUUUCUAUUGAGACAUUCCCCUUCCUAGGGGACUGAAAACAUGCAGUUUACAGCUCUGGCUACAACCCUGAAGAUUGGCUCUCCUGAUGGUUGCACGAUGGCUGCAGCAGUUCCAGAUGUCCCAUCGAGACACAAAAAGAUCCCAGAUGGAAGAUGCCAUCUCCUCCUAUGUGCCUCUUUUUAAGAGUUACACAGGAGUGAGGAGGACCACCAAACCAAACUAAGACUCGGAGGAAAAAAAAAAAAGAAAAAGAAGAAAAUGUCUGCUAGGUGCCAUGCCACUCAAACAGCCAAUGGAAAGGCCCACGUGGCGAGAGCUAAGGCUUCCUGCCAACAGGCAAGUGAGGAAGCCCAGUCAGCUGCCUGCAGUCCUGACCCAUGAAGAGCCUGACUGAAAGUGAAUGAGCAACCCUGAGCUAGGACAACCCAGCAAGGCCCAUCCUGAAUUCCUGCCCACAAAAACUCUGAGACAGUAAAUGUUCGUUGUUUUAAACCACAAAGUUUUGAAGUAAUAGAUUAAUUAGGUAACCAAUUGGGACUGCAGUAUUCCUUCAGGGAACUUGAAUAGUCAUUCUGUAUAUGGAAAUUGUACACAUCUUAAAAUUGCUGGACUAAAGUGAGAAGAGACUGUCUUGAGUCAACUGGAUAAAGUGGAAAAAAAAUUAAUUUGGAAAUCAAUAGAAUUCUGGCCUUGGCUUUGUCACUAAGAAACACUUAUAAGUAAUUUCACUUCUCUUGAAAUUAUGAUCAUUAUCUAUAACAUAAAGGAACUGAGCUAAAUGUUAUCUGAUGCCUCUUUAGGCUCUCAAACUCCAUAGAUUUAUGACAUGCUUGAAAUUCACUUUGUUUCACCCUAAUUCAGAGCUUUGUUUCACUAGCUCUAGAAUUAGAUGCCUUGGGUUUAAAUUGCAAUUCAGUCACUUAUUUAAAUAAUUGUACUUGGAUGAGUGAUGUUGCCAUUUUAAGCCUCAGUUUCCCCAUAGAUUCAUUGAGAAGAUCAAAUAAGAUGAUGCAGAUAAAGCUCUUAGUUUGUGGGGACACUUAGUAAGUGCUUAAUAAAUACAGGCAGUUGUGUUAUCUAUGUUGUAGCAGCACAUUUUGUAAAAUAAAACAAAGUUGAAAUCACAGAUCUAUAUUUUUAUGUACUCUGUUGACAGUUUAGAGCUUAUUUGGCUUUUAACAUUUUUAUUAUUGUUUUGUUUAUUUAUCAUUAUUAUUAUUUUUUGAGACGGAGUCUUGCUCUGUCGCCUAGGCUGGAGUACAGUGGCGUGGUCUCUGCUCACUGCAACCCCCGCCUUCUGAGUUCAAGCUAUUCUCCUGCUUCAGCCUCUCCAGUAGCUGGGAUUACAGGCACGCGCCACCAGGCCCGGAUAAUUUUUGUAUUUUUAGUAGAGACAGGGUUUCACCAUGUUGGCCAGUCUGGUCUCGAACUCCUGACCUUGUGAUCUGCCCGCCUCAGCCUCCCAAAGUGCUGGGAUUAUAAGCAUGAGCCACUCCACCUGGCCUAUUAUCAUUUUUUGAGAUGGGGGCCUCUCUCCGUUGCUCAGGCUGAAGGACAGUAGCAUGAUCAUUGUUCACUGUAACCUUGAACUCAUGGGCUCAAAUAGUCCUCCCAACUCAGCCUCUUGAGUAGCUGGGACUACAGGUGCACAACACCAUGCCUAUCUUAACCUUUUAGAUUUUUUUUAUAGAGAUGGGGUCUUACAGUAUUGCUCAGGGUGGUCUUAAACUCCUGGCCUCAAGUGAUCCUUCCGCCUCAGCCUCCCAAAGUGCUGGGGUUAUAGGCAUGAGCCACCAUGCCCUGUUCGCUUUUAUAUAAUCAGUAUGUAAAGUGCAUUUUAUAGGGACUUGAAGCACACUUUUAUAAUUUUAAAAAUUGUAGAAAUUCAUAUGUGAAGUUUUGCCUUAUAAUGUAUUGUUGGUCAUACCCUGGAUCAGGAAGCCAACCCCAAAUUACAAUCUCAUUCCUACAAGAAGGUACAGUCUGCUGUAUGAAGAUCUAUUUUUACAUGUGUUUCUAGGAAUGCUUUGCAGCGGAGUUAGGUGGCCUAGACUUUCUUGAUUCUCCUGCAGAGCACAGCCUGCUGUAAAUACUCCAUUUUAUUUGCUUAAGCUUGGUUUGUUUUUGUUUUUGCCUUUUUUUAGUGUAAGAUAAAUAGAAAUCUAAGUCAGUUUCUGAUUGUGCCUAAUGGUCUGUUCUUUAAAAAUUGAGAUCAUUGUCCAACAGACACUCAGAUCUGGUUCGGCCGGUUUGGAAGUCUUUCUCUUCAGGUCUCUCUAACUCUUAGCAGUCCUCUGACAGGUUGCUGCCUUCCUCAUUUACAUCCAUAAUGCUAAGUUCCCUUUGGUCCAGGUCAGUAUUCUGGGAUGUUUCCAGAAUCAAUAUCUGAUGUUUCUAUUUGCUCUGGCACCUGCCAGUUUACUUGGGUAGGCCUCCAGUGUGGAACAGAACUAGAAUAUUGUGAGUUAUCCAUUUUUCUGCUGUACAGCCAGGGUCACCUGAGGCUGUAGACUGACUCUCCAGCUGGAAAAACAGAGUAUUCUGGACAAAUUCUUUGCCAAUGGCCAUGUGGUAGGCCUGGCGAUUGAGAGUCAAAAGAGUCCAAUUUCCUGUGCUCUCAGGUUUUGAAUUUUUAAAUAAAGCAUUGUUUUGUGUGCUAAAAUUUUAAAAUAUAAAGUAAGUUUUGUUGUUUCUUUUUUCUGUGAUUUUUUGCUGCCAUCUAUUCCCUUAUAGCCACAAAGCAGCUAUUCGGAAGCCUAUUGUUCUC